GUUAUAUUCGAUUUGUUAUCGAGUGAUUUUUGGCGCCAAUCGGUACCGAAAACUAAAAUAAUAUUAAAAUUCGACGAAAUGGCUGAAAAUUCGGGAGAACAGGGAACAUUGGUUGCAUUCCGUGAGCUACAGAGCAUAGACCAAAAAGAUAUUGUUAUCCUUAUCGAUGUUGCGUCGGCGUUAAAAAGCUGCAGCGAAUGCAUAAGGAAUAACACCGUCAAGACUGUGGAUGUGUUGACACUAUGGCUUAAAAAAGUCCUCAGGGCAUAUAUUGAUGAAGCGGCUCGCUGCGUCACUGCGUUUAAACAAAUGUGCGAUUGGUUUCAGAUGAUGAAAUCGUCGACUGAUGUCGAUUGCAGCGAUCUGAUCACCGUACUUACGGAGGCUCUGAAAUUUACAACAGCGUCCAAGGAACCGUUGCUGAAGGCGGGUGAACGUCUAGUACACGCUGCCGCCUUUUUCCUAUUUUCCAUUGUGCACGGCUAUCUUAGUGAAAGUGAAAGUAGCUCCAAGCGCAAUGUCCUAAAGGAACAUUUUCCAAAUGCCAUCGGCCUACACUUAGCUGUGCUUUCCAUGCUGACAGACACCACCGCCAGUGCAAAGAAAGUGAAUGCGCGCAUAACACCCCUAAUCCAACAGAUGAACGAAAUUUCUGGUUUUCUAAGCGCUAAGAUAACCCAUCUGCAGGCAUUUAUAAAAACAAGCGAAACGAUGACCUAUAUUUGCCUGCACUACAUGCAAAAUGCUGAUCGUGGCCAAUGGGAAGCUGGGACUAUGCCUGAUUGGCUCAAGGAAACCGUCUUGCAUCUGUGCGACACGGUUCUCAACCAAAUGGAAACAAUCCAAAAGAAAGAUGCACUAACUGUGCCCUUGGAAAAGGUGGAAGAGUAUCUGCGAGUAACGCACACAUAUUUAUUAAUGCUGUAUGAACUUGUAAAGACUAAGUGGAAGCAUGUUGACGAAUCUAUUUCGGAAGCCCUUAUUGAUUUGCUAAUGAGUGGCUCAUCGACUCAAGAUCUUGGCGAAAAUAUUUCAUUACUUAUAUCUAAAUAUAUACGACCGGGCUUACUAAAAAUCUUUGAGAUGGCCUAUCCAUUGGAGGACUUUCAAAAGCGACUUGUUUCUUUACUUAUCGACCCAGAGGAAGCAGAAAAUUACUUUUUUGAUAUUUGCUUUGAUUUUGUAGGUGUUGUCACAGUAGACAAUGCAGCUCUGACGCCUUAUACCUGUCAAACAUUGCAGAAAAUAUUUGAAUACAUAUUUAGAGACGCCUCUCAUUUUGUCAACGCUGACCAUUACGAACGAGCAAUUGAAGCCUUUGCCAGCCUAAUGUACUUGGCAGAAUGUGAGGAAUUCGACAACUACUUUUGCACUGGUGUGUUUCAAGAGGAUCCCGUCACAUCACAAGUCUGUGCAGAUAUACUAAUGCUCUCGUUUCGGUUGGUUGAGGCAAAUCCUGGCUGGAACAGAAACACGCUAAUCCAGGCUACUAAUUACUGGAAAGAGUGCAACAACUCGUAUGCGAUGUUCUCACAUAGCCCGACUCAGUGGCAUGUGCAGCGCUUCCUUAAGUAUUUCCAUGGCAUCGGAAAACAUGAGCCUCCAUCAUUUACUGCUCAGAAUUUUCGGUAUCUCCGUGCUGUUGCACCUGUAAAUAACAGAUAUGGGGAAACUCUACUGGAGCGGUUGCAGCUCAUAGGCAAUGGUGCACAAAGUAAAAUAGAGCUGUACUAUGAAGUGGUUGCUAUUAUGGAGCUAUUGGCGCACCAAAAGAAGACGGAUCUUUCAAAAUGGCUUCAACAGAGAUAUGAAUUCGUCAGGGAGCUACUCAAGGACGAAAAGUGCGAUACAUUCACCAGUGUAUAUUUCCAGCUGGUGGGCCAUACUAGCCCAUCCGCACAGCUGCAACUAUUACGGGGACUGGCUCCUGUUGUCGGACACUGCAACUGGCAUAUCCAGAAGUUUCUACAUGCCUGCAAGGGCAGCGAUGAUGCACAGCUGAGGGCAUUCAGCGCACGCCACUCCAUAGAUAAAAUAGUGCUACCCCUGUUGGAAGCAGUGCAGCAGAAACCAUCGCCUGGGACCACCGCAGCGGACAGACAGUGUAAAUUGCUGACUAAAUCGAGCUAUAAGCGCGAUACGGAGCACGUCUGUAAAGUGCAGUGUCUGAAGCGUAAGCGGGCUGAGAGCACACCCAAGGAAAUAAUAAGGGAACUCCAUGACAGUUCCCUACAGCUGGUUCAGAGUGCAGUCGGUCUGGAUGCUGCGGAUAAAGAGCAGUCUGACAUAAAGUUUAUUGAGGAAGCAUCGCAAAACUAUUAUAGCUGCAAAUCAUCAGAUUAGUUAGUUGCAGAGUCUAACAUGCGACGACACGACCUUGAAAGAUGAUCAGAUACGGAUGACAAUGUUUGUGACCACUUAUAGUAGGCACCACAAUUCAUUAGAAUCAAUAAUAUACAAUACGAGUAUAUUCGCAAUGAAAGAUAAAAUGUGGGGACCGGACGAAAAAUUAAUACCCGUGUUAUUGGAGAGCGUAUUCACUCCUGACAAUCAUCCAUCCCCGUGGACAUUAAUUAUGCAAGCUGGGCGAUGCAUGAGGGAUCACAAAAUCAUCAAACUACUGGCAGUCUCUUGGUCUCUUUCGGUCGCACCAUCAGGCCAGAAGACAACAACAGAAGCAACAGAUUCGAGCGCAUCGAGACGGAGCAGGAGAACAUUCCCUGGAGGUGGAGCGCGGACUUGUGGCAGAUAACCAUCGCAUAUUGGAGUUGCUUUUUUUUGAGCCACAACACGCCAAAUUGUCGCCGCUGUUAAUUGCCUUC
rnacentral:misc_RNA from 1 species